CGUGUCAACGCCUAAACCGUUGCGGCCAUUGAUGUUCCCGUUAAGCUCACAAGUCGCUAGAGCAAGAAAUAAAUCUCUACGAAAAUUCGGAUGGCAGCUCGAUCGCACAACCCGGUUUUGAAGAUUUUUUGUUUCUCUCUCUCAGAUGUCUAUAGAUUUAUAAAACCCAAAGAGAAAAUAAAUUUCGUUAUUAGUA